UGAGGAACAUGACUUUCGGCGGGGGAUAGCCGGCCCAACGGCCGGGUAAUACCNCGUACGACCUUUUGGGGACAUCCCCGAUUGGUGAAAGCAGCAAUGCGCCGAAAGAGUGCCUCGCGGCCUAUCAGCUAGUUGGUGGGGUAAUGGCUCACCAAGGCGACGACGGGUAGCUGGUCUGAGAGGAUGGCCAGCCACAUUGGGACUGAGACACGGCCCAGACUCCUACGGGAGCAGCAGG
rnacentral:rRNA from 1 species